rnacentral:sRNA from 1 species
CCCCGCGGGGAGAGCACCAUGAGGACUGACUCGGGGGCUCGGCUGGAGGAGGGCCACCUGCGUCCUCCACGAGCUCUUCCACCUGUGCCAAGAUGAUAUUCCACUUAGUCGUCCUAAGAAAAAGAAGCCCAGAACAAAAAACACACCAGCAAGUGCUUCUUUGGAAGGCCUUGCUCAGACUGCUGGGAGAAGGCCCUCUGAGGGCAGUGAGCCAUCAACUAAAGAACUCAAAGAGCACCCAGAGGCUCCUGUUCAAAGAAGACAGAAAAAGACAAGGCUACCUCUUGAAAACGGCGUGUCUUGAUUGGAUGGAAGAAUUAUAGGAGUAGAAGGGCAGGAACUAGAAAAGUCAGGAGAAUGGAACAUAAUUUUGGAAGAAUUGGAGACUUCCUCCACCCAAAAGAAGUCAUCUAGUUCAUCUUUAUUACGAAAUGAAAAUGGUAUUGAUGCGGAGCCAGCUGAGGAGGCAGUUAUUCAAAAACCUCGGAGGAAGACAAAGAAAACCCAGCCAGCAGAAUUACAGUAUGCCAAUGAGCUAGGAGUAGAAGAUGAAGACAU